UCAUACAUUGGUCAUAUUCAAAGUCCUCAUGUGUCCAGGUGUAAUAGUGUGAUGUUGUUGCGCUAUAUUAUGAACUAGACAGGGUAUUAUAUUUAUUUUGAAGUAACGCUUUUAUUUUGAAGAACCGGAUGUCCGGUGCGGGAAGUGUCUUUGCUGUUUUUCGAUUGCUUUACUUCCUCUUCCUUCGGACUUCUGAACGAGAAGGAGCAGAUAUCACUCCGCCAGAAAGUUGAGACCUGUGUGUGUGUUUUGUGUUUCCAACACAGGAGCAGAUAUCACUCCGCCAGAAAGUUGAGACCUGUGUGUGUGUUUUGUGUUUCCAACACAGGUUUCCCAAUAAAUACUGAACCGAC